AUGAUUACCUAGCAGGGGAGAUACCAUAAUCAAGAUGGUAGUUUUCCCCAAGUUGGUUCUCCCAGGGUGAGACCUGUCCAUUGUACCCCAGGCAGGCUGGCCACUGCGAGUUUCCCUGAAUGCAGGAAACUUGACUGUAAAAUUUUGUUGCAAUAGGUGAUUGUGUUCAUGCUCCCCUC
rnacentral:snRNA from 12 species